rnacentral:lncRNA from 1 species
UGGAAUGCCAUGACCUGCAAAAUGACUGUGCCCUACCACGCCUGCCAGCUGCCUCCCCAGAUGACACAUUCACCCGCUCUCGAACUGCAAGUGCUGGCACAUAACUGCCUCAGAUCUGGACAAAUCUGGAAGGCCUUCACCAGAUGCCGGCACCUUGAUCUUUGAUUUCUCAUCCUCCAGAACUGUGAGAAAUACAUUUCUCUUCUUCAUAAAUCAUCCAGUCUCAGAUAUUGUGUUAUAGUAGCACAAAAUGGACUAAGACAAACUUUAAUGUUAAGCAUCCAACAAUGCACUCUGGCAAAUUGUGGGUUACUUCUACCAAAAAGUGUGAAAUCCUGGCCUGUUCCUCACUGCAGCCUGAACUUAGCUUAUAAGCAGAUAUUUGCAAUCUAUUUAAACUUGCCUCAGCCCCAGGCCUUAGGGGUUCAACCUUUCCCCAGAGCAAAUGUUUUUUUUUUAUGAAAUAACAAGAACUCAGUGUUAUAAUCAACAGAUGGUAAUAGCUGAGCAAGUUCUAAUCUCAUAACACUGAAGAAAUUGUUCCCAGUCUCAUUCUGUCAUUCCCAUUUCAUCAUUUUCUUCUGAUUUGUUGAGUUAUUGCUUAAUCUCAAUAAUUUACUUAUUUUUCAGAAGGAUUUGUUAACAAUACCUUCUCCCCCCUCGGAGCACUCAAUUUAUAU